CUGAGGCCCUGGAUCUCCUGCUCAUGCUUCUGCAGCAUGGAUGCGAUAGGUUGGACCUGGGCACGAACCUCCCCAUGAACUUCCUCAAUCGCAGCCCUAACUUUCAAGCUUUUACUGAGGAACAGCUCUCACAGGUGAAAUGGAAGCAGUCCUUUGCUUGCCCUUCCAGUGGAAAACAAUGGCCUUAAUUUAAUCGUUGAGCUUGCUACCAAUUGGGACCCCACUCACUGCCCUCAGACCCAGCUCAAUUUAAUUUGAUCAGUUGCAGCCAGUUCACUGGGGCCCAGCUGCCAUCCAAUCCCCACCCCUAUCUUUUCCCCAUUGUAAGGGAAGCUGAUUUUCGACCUUCCUGAUGAGCAAGCACAGAUUCAGUUAUUCAGUUCAAUAUAUCCUCCCACCGCUGCCCAAGAGCACAAAUAAAGAAAAGACCAAAAAGGAAAA